CGGCCCCCUUUCCCUUCUCCUGGGAUCCUCGGACUCUGGGGAUCUUCCCUGGCCCUUCCUCCCUCCCACACUCGGCUGUUUCCCUGUCUAACCGGAUUCUUCCAGAUUCUUCUCGAUCGAUCUCCUGACUUUACUCCGCUAGUCCGCUGCGCCCGCGGCGGUGUGUGGGAAGCGCGGGCAGCCAGAUGGCAGCGGCGGCGCGCCCUCCCCGGGACCAGCUUUCACCACGGGCGGCAUGGCCUUACCGCUAUGACCCGCGUAGACCCUUCCCUACCUGGGGGAAAAGGGGCAAGGGCGUGUGGGCGGGGAAGUGAGUGGACAGCGUUGCCCCGCUGCACAGAGCCAGGGAAAGCGACCUCGAUUUCCCCAAAGUCGGGAAGCCCCGGCUGGGCAGCGGUGCCUCCUCCCGCGCCUGCAGAUGCUGCAAGCAGCGGGGUUGGCAGGGCAUGGCCAGCCCAGCUUGGGACUCACACGGGGCACGCACUCAGGGGACCCUUCCCCGCGGUAAUAAAACUGCCGUUUCCGCGAAUGCUUACAAGGUUGGGUUGUAAGCAUUCGAAAGUAACCGAAAAAAGUCACUCGGUUUUCUUAAAGGCCCACAGAAGGAGUAUUUUCAAUGUUUGUUUCCUGAGUGUUUCUUGACAGCUUGUGGAGCGCGCAGCUACCGGUGUCACCAAAGCCAUGGUCGCGGGACCUAGAGAGCCAUCUAGAGAGGGACCUGGUUUUGCUCAGCACCUAACCCCAGCUUAGUAUAGCAUCUGGAGGAAGUCAGCACACUUUUUCUCAUCCACCUUAUCCGUAGGUGACUUCUGCUGGGAUCAGAAGCUUGUUCUUGUCACACUGAGCCUCUCUGAGCUGACCUGGCUCAGCUCCCAAACCCUGGGCCCAUCAUUUACGAAUGAAGACACCUCGUUUCUAUAGUUCAUAUUUUGACCUUCCUAGGCUGCCAAUGCACUUAACAUCCAAAGAAUUAUAUAAUAUUUGGAUCAUUCAAAAGACUGUGAAAUGCAAUACGAGUGUGUGUGUGCAUGUAUGCAUACAUGUUAUGUAGCAUACCAGCACAAUGAACCUGGGAAUCUGUCACCUAGCCUGAGUUAGAACAUUCCCAAUAUAAUUUGUCAAAAAUGUAUUACCAAAAAAAAGUUAACGACCUUUACAUUUUUUUCUUGUUAACUUUGGUGUCUGUUGAUUGAGAAAAUACAAACUCUACGGACCAACUCCUUAAAACA